rnacentral:rRNA from 1 species
AUUGAACGCUGGCGGCAUGCCUUACACAUGCAAGUCGAACGGCAGCGGACCUUCGGGUGCCGGCGAGUGGCGAACGGGUGAGUAAUAUAUCGGAACGUACCUUUCAGUGGGGGAUAACGUAGCGAAAGUUACGCUAAUACCGCAUAUUCUGUGAGCAGGAAAGCAGGGGAUCGCAAGACCUUGCGCUGAUUGAGCGGCCGAUAUCAGAUUAGCUAGUUGGUGAGGUAAAGGCUCACCAAGGCGACGAUCUGUAGCGGGUCUGAGAGGAUGAUCCGCCACACUGGAACUGAGACACGGUCCAGACUCCUACGGGAGGCAGCAGUGGGGAAUUUUGACGAAUAGGCGGCAAGACUCGAUCCACGCACUGCCGCCGUGAGUGAAGAAGGACGUCGUGUAGUAGUACUACGUCGGUACGGAACGUAAGUAC